GAUGAACGCUGGCGGCGUGCCUAAUACAUGCAAGUCGAGCGAACAGAUGAGGAGCUUGCUCCUCUGACGUUAGCGGCGGACGGGUGAGUAACACGUGGAUAACCUACCUAUAAUACUGGUAUAACUUCGGGAAACCGGAGCUAAUACCGGAUAAUAUAUUGAACCGCAUGGUUCAAUAGUGAAAGACGGUUUUGCUGUCACUUAUAGAUGGAUCUGCGCCGCAUUAGCUAGUUGGUAAGGUAACGGCUUACCAAGGCAACGAUGCGUAGCCGAACUGAGAGGCUGAUCGGCCACACUGGAACGGAGACACGGUCCAGACUCCUACGGGAGGCCGCAGUAGGGAAUCUUCCGCAAUGGGCGAAAGCCUGACGGAGCAAGGGCGCGCGAGUGAUGACGGUCCUCGGAUCGUAAAACUCUGUUAUUAGGGAAGAACAAAUGUGUAAGUAGCUGUGCCCGGCUUGACGGUACCUGAUCAGAAAGCCACGGCUAACUACGUG
rnacentral:rRNA from 1 species